rnacentral:rRNA from 1 species
AGGGUGCAAGCGUUAAUCGGAAUUACUGGGCGUAAAGCGUGCGCAGGCGGCUUGGCAAGACAGAUGUGAAAUCCCCGGGCUCAACCUGGGAACUGCAUUUGUGACUGCACAGCUUGAGUGCGGCAGAGGGGGAUGGAAUUCCGCGUGUAGCAGUGAAAUGCGUAGAUAUCGGGAGGAACAUCAGUGGCGAAGGCGACUGCCUGGCCCAACACUGACGCUGAGGUGCGAAAGCGUGGGUAGCAAACAGG